UACGGAGGGUGCGAGCGUUAUCCGGAUUCACUGGGUUUAAAGGGUGCGUAGGUGGGCAGGUAAGUCAGUGGUGAAAUCUCCGGGCUUAACUCGGAAACUGCCAUUGAUACUAUCUGUCUUGAAUACCGUGGAGGUUAGCGGAAUAUGUCAUGUAGCGGUGAAAUGCUUAGAUAUGACAUAGAACACCAAUUGCGAAGGCAGCUGGCUACACGAAUAUUGACACUGAUGCACGAAAGCGUGGGGAUCAAACAGG
rnacentral:rRNA from 1 species